CUGAUCCAGGGAUGGCACAGAAACACAGAGGCUUGACUCGUUUUGAGUCGGGUCGCUACAUAAGCGCAUACUCCGAGAGGAAGGGUUGGUAGGUGUAAACCAUCGCACGAUGCCAACCUCAACACAAAGGAUGACAAUCAACAGAUCAAUUAUGCUCCGACUUCCUAACAUAGCGGUUCACCAUACGUGCAUGCUACGGGAAUCACUAACUCCAACACAUGUAUCUCUAGAUUCACAACACCCUACUAAC
rnacentral:lncRNA from 1 species